rnacentral:lncRNA from 1 species
GCCCCGAGUUCUCCAUCCCCUGGAUCCCGGGCUCGCGGGGGCGCGGAGAAGAGGAUCCAGGAAAGGAGAGGGCCAUUGGCAAGGAACUGAGGUGGCCUUCGAUCAACAGCCCACAAGGAAUGGAAUCCUGCCAAUAACAAUCAAAUGGUCCGAGGCAUCCAAGCAUGGCCUAUUGCCUGUGUCUUUAUUCUGAACAGAACAGGGCAGCCUUGGGAAAAUGCUGGCUGCUCAGCUAGCUCACUUAAAAAAAAUCACGUAAGCACUCCCUCUGCUCCUCUUAUUGGUGUUCAAGGCUUGAAGAGAGCUUUAGGGAAGGGUGUCUAAUGGAUCACAUGACUGUACCUACUGGUCCUUUUCCUGCCUUGUUAAUUACAAGGUGUUAUGAUCUUCACCACAGAUUGAUUACAUAAAGGGGAUCAUUUCUUCAUCCCCACCAUUUGCCAUGUAACUUUGUCAUGCCCUGUAUCUCUGACUCUGGCCUCUGUCAUUGACUUGCUGUGCCAAUGUUAGCAAAUGUGAAGCACACACAGGCUUGAAUAGCACUGUGCAACGGGACUUGUUAACACUUACCUUCUACUGUUGCUACAUGAACAUGCCCAGGCUAGCCUGAUGGAUGAUGAGAGACAUGUGGAAUAGAGCAGAGUCACCACAUUCAUCUCAGCUGAGACCUUUCUAGAUGGGUCAACAGCCCUCUACCCCCAGACGUGUGAGCCAGCCCAGCCAAGAUCAGCCAAGUCCAACCUGAAUAAUUGAACACUGAGGUCUUGUUGCAGAAUAAAAGUGUAUUAUUGUAACCCA